AAACUUCGCAAUGGGGGCAACCCCGACGAGGGAAUUCCAAGUGCCAGCACUUUGUGUUGGCUGUUCUUCUGUCUAAAAAACAGGAGGAGUAAGGGGCGGGUAAGACGGGUGCCAGCCGCCGCGGUAAUACCCGCGCCCCGAGUGGUGGUCGAUAUUAUUGAGCCUAAAACGUCCGUAGCCGGUCUUCUAAAUCCUUGGGUAAAUCGGGCAGCUUAACUGUCCGAAUUCCGAGGAGACUGGAAGACUUGGGACCGGGAGAGGUCAGAGGUACUUCUGGGGUAGGGGUAAAAUCCUGUAAUCCUGGAAGGACCACCGGUGGCGAAGGCGUCUGACUAGAACGGAUCCGACGGUGAGGGACGAAGCCCUGGGGCGCAAACGGGAUUAGAUACCCCGGUAGUCCAGGGUGUAAACGCUGCGGGCUUGGUGUUGGGGGUCCUUUGUGGGCGCCCAGUGCCGGAGAGAAGUUGUUAAGCCUGCUGCUUGGGGAGUAUGUCCGCAAGGAUGAAACUUA
rnacentral:rRNA from 1 species